UCUGCCCUAUCAACUUUCGAUGGUAGGAUAGUGGCCUACCAUGGUUUCAACGGGUAACGGGGAAUUAGGGUUCGAUUCCGGAGAGGGAGCCUGAGAAACGGCUACCACAUCCAAGGAAGGCAGCAGGCGCGCAAAUUACCCAAUCCCGACACGGGGAGGUAGUGACAAUAAAUAACCAUACAGGGCUCUUUCGGGUCUUGUAAUGGAAUGAGUACAAUUAAGUCUCUAACGA
rnacentral:rRNA from 1 species